rnacentral:rRNA from 1 species
AUUGAACGCUGGCGGCAUGCUUUACACAUGCAAGUCGAACGGUAACAGGCCGCAAGGUGCUGACGAGUGGCGAACGGGUGAGUAAUGCAUCGGAACGUGCCCAGUCGUGGGGGAUAACGCAGCGAAAGCUGUGCUAAUACCGCAUACGAUCUAUGGAUGAAAGCGGGGGACCGUAAGGCCUCGCGCGAUUGGAGCGGCCGAUGUCAGAUUAGGUAGUUGGUGGGGUAAAGGCUCACCAAGCCAACGAUCUGUAGCCGGUCUGAGAGGACGACCCGCCACACUGGGACUGGGACACGGCCCAGACUCCUACGGGAGGCAGCAGUGGGGAAUUUUGGACAAUGGGCGCAAGCCUGAUCCAGCAAUGCCGCGUGCAGGAAGAAGGCCUUCGGGUUGUAAACUGCUUUUGUACGGAACGAAAAGGUUUGGGUUAAUACCCUGGGCCGAUGACGAUACCGUAAGAAUAAGCACCGGCUAACUACGUGCCAGCAGCCGCCGUAA